CAGGUGGUGCCAUACCUUCUUUGCCAUCUCUUUGGGGCAGAGAGAAAGCAGCUUCCGUGCAGCCUGAUUGGGAUCUGGUUACUUUUGAGGAGGUCUCUGUUCAUUUCACUGAGGAGGAGUGGGCUCUGCUGGAUCCGGACCAAAGAAGGCUUCACAAGGAAAUCAUGGAGGACAAUUGUCAGAAUGUGGCGUCUCUGGAAGGACUUCUGGUUCCCAAACCUGAUUGCAUUUCCCCAGUGGAAGAAGCAGGAGAUCCACUUACCCA